AAGCAUCAUUGUGUGUGGAGGUCAGAUCCACAUCACGCAGUGAAGUUACACCAGCAGCACAUCCUAGUCAAGUAAUAACUGAGAUGCUUGAGGUAAGCUAGUAAAAGGUUUCUUAGCAUAUGUGCUUGUUGGUUCAUUGCUUACUAUUGUUAUUGUAUGAUCAUAUGGGCCUAUUCUUCUAUAUCAUAGUUAGGCUUUUGCUCAGUAAAUAUUUUUUGAUGGGGCUAGUCCAGUAUUUUGAAUAAAUGUUUAUGGAAAUUAGUGUGAGACAUUUUGUAGUGAAUCACAUAUAGUGGCAAUAUAGUGGCGUUUUGUAUGUGGGCCAGAUAGGUUGCGUACACAACAGGAACACACAAAAGCCCCUGCUCAUCAAUGCGCCCAGGAAGGUAAGCAGUUUGGAUACUCUCUUAGAGAUUAGUCAGAUUACAGCAGUAGUGGCCAGUGGGAGUCCUAUAGUAGUACAUUAGUUGUGUCAGCCCUAUAGAAGUUGUAUCUCCUGUGAGCCAAAGCAAUUAAAAUAAACUUCUCAAUUUUACCUUUGUAUUUAUAUGUUCCUCCUAGCCAAACUCUACGAACAUCCUUCUCAGCCUCUCUAUUUCUCCCCCUUUGCUAUGCACCAAUUAGUUAAGUCGUUGCCAUCCGACCUCCUCUCAAUGAUGUUUGCCCUCCAUGUGCUAUAAGGUACACAACAAGCGAGCACAGGAUGCUCGUUACAGGUUUAGAAAUCAUUUGCAUAAUUAAUGAAUAUUAUUGAAUGAAAACAUAAUAUAGACCCAACAGCAGUCGAUUGUAUAAGAAAAAUAAAGCUUGUGAUGAGACAUGUGGGCUGUAGUUUAAAUUGGUUGAUCAGGUUUGACUGUUUGAUAAAAACAUGAGUUGGUGAGGGUCAUAUGACGGCACAGAAAGGUAAUUCAAGGCCCAGAAGCAUAUUUAGUAUACUUGUUAAGUUUAAACUUGGAUCUCUAUUUUAUCUUGGUGUGAUAUAAAUGUUGUAAUACGAUAUGUGCGCUGAUCUUGGGACUUGUCUUGAGGCGCAUAUGGGGACUACCGGAAUUGCUUUUGUUUUAAUUGAUAGGUGGCUGCAUUGGAUUGUCAUUAGAUUUAAUUUAACAUGUGUCUUGCCCUCGUGUGAGAGUAUGUUAGCUCUCAUCUAGGUGGAGCUGGCCCGCUCGAUUAAAAAGUGCAAUUUGGACGGUUCUUACAGCUUUGGUUUCGUGUCCUGCAGAAGUCAAGGUGUGAGCGCAGGUUUCAGUACGAUUAAGAUUUGAUUAUUGUUUCCCAAAAACAAUAGAAGAACUAGAAAGCGCUCCACGUUUCAUUAAGGAUUUUCUGUUCUAUGAUUGACAUGCUGGCAUCCUAACAUAACAAUACGGGAAACGUCAAUCGUCAAGUGGUUAGAUAUAGGUUACAAACGAAGUCUCGAUUAGGCUAAACACUGACUAGAGGUACCAACACGCUAGGUGCGCUAGUUUAAACCGGGGUCGAAUGUUCGUACAGGACGUUGUGUAAAGUGUCUUUUUUAAGGUGUAAUAUGACAAAUGCCGAACUCUACCGUUCGGACAUAACAGAUUUGGCCCAAAUUUGUUGCGAUGUACCCAUUAAGCCCAUAUCUUAAGAAACAACUCCGUCACGGACCAGAAAAGACUUUCUGGGCCUAUAUAAGCCCAAGUGUUC